ACUUAAAUUGAAGAGUUUGAUCAUGGCUCAGAUUGAACGCUGGCGGCAGGCCUAACACAUGCAAGUCGAACGGUAACAGGAAGCAGCUUGCUGCUUCGCUGACGAGUGGCGGACGGGUGAGUAAUGUCUGGGAAACUGCCUGAUGG
rnacentral:rRNA from 1 species